rnacentral:tRNA from 9 species
UGCGGGCGUAGGCCAGAGGUCCAGGCUGCCGGGCUCAUAACCCGGAGAUUCGCCGGUUCGAAUCCGGCCCCCGCAACCA